rnacentral:rRNA from 1 species
UACGUAGGGGGCAAGCGUUGUCCGGAUUUAUUGGGCGUAAAGCGCGUGUAGGCGGCCAGGUAGGUCCGCUGUGAAAACCCGAGGCUCAACCUCGGGACGUCGGCGGAAACCAUUUGGCUAGAGUCCGGAAGAGGAGAGUGGAAUUCCCGGUGUAGCGGUGAAAUGCGCAGAUAUCGGGAAGAACACCUAUGGCGAAGGCAGCUCUCUGGGACGGUACUGACGCUGAGACGCGAAAGCGUGGGGAGCGAACAGG